CGGAGGCUGGGGCGCGGUCGCUUUCGGGGCUGCGGCGCCAACCACAACGCCCCGAUUCCUCGAAGCGGGGCGCGUCCGCCUUAAUCGGGGUGCCAGGUGGGCAGUGGGGACCGCGUUACAUCAGCUACCACGUGUGGGCCUCUCAGCUGAAGAGAAGGCGGCGGUCCCGCCCCCACCCCCUGCCGUGGAAAAGUACCGGGGCGCCCAGCUUUCAGAUGAUUGAUCCCCUCUAACCCCUGGGAGUGGACUCCACAAAGGACUCCCCUUCUCCAUCGUCCCUGCCUCUCUGCCCUCCAGCUGGGGCCCUUGAGGGAAGCAGAUGUCGUCCCCUUCGGGCUAGGCUGGAAUGAAGCCAGAAGGCCUGGGGCACUUCGGGGGACUGGGGCUCCAGUUAGCCUGCCAGGCCCCCGGCCUUCUGCGCCUGCGUUCCCCCUAGAGAAGUCAGAGCAAAUUCCAUUCCCUCUGGAGCAGCGCCGCUAGGGACUGUGGGCACAGCUGGGGACUGCAGGCACAAACCUGGGCAGGCACAAACCUGGGCAGGCACAAACUCUUUCCUCCCUGCGGAGACAGAUCAGGGUUCCAAUAUCAGCUAAAGGAGACUGCCAAAGGAGCGUUGACUUCCAGGUCCUGAGGCUCAGGCCUCCCUGUGGGGAGCAGGGGGCUGACCCCCAGAGCCACCAGCAGCAGGCCUGAGGUUCCUCCCACGGCCUCUUGGACUGGGAAAUCAGGAACAGUGGUGGCUAUAAGUGGAGCAGCCAACACCAAAAAUAGCCAUCCACACUGGGGAGCAUCCUGUGACACCCCCUCUACCCAGCCCACCAAGCUUGGCCUACUGACCUGGAGACUGGUAGGACUCCUGUCUAACUCGACUUCCCCAAAUCCCAUUUUCUUCUAGCAACCCCACAGACACCUGGUGCCCUCUGGUGAAAAGUACCAUACGCGGCAGUUACCGCUGGCUCCCCAGGCUACAUCUGGCCAAGAUGAUGUUCACUUGUCUGGUUAUUUUAUGUCAUCCUCACAUCAAGUUUACAAGGUAGGCAUUAUUUUCAUUUUCUAGAACAAAGGCUCAGACAGGUUAAAUAAUUUGCCCAAUGUUACAGAACCAGUAAGUGGUAGAACUUGAACUUGAACCCAGGUUGGCCUUUCUUCAAAAUGCAUGCUCUCACCUUCAGAACACUAUGCACACAUAGACGCAUGGUGACCCAGUAGAGGUUUUAUGUGCCAUGCUGAUAGUUUGAGUGAAACUAUGAUCGGGUGUAUGGACAUUGAAGUCCUCCCACUCAGUUAUAAAACAGUGUGAAUUGGUUUUGAGCACAAUAAGAUUGAGUGUUUGGCUCCUGGGACUAGUGGAGCUUUGCUGUGGCUGUAUGAUUGCAUUGUGUGAGUGUAACUGUGAUUGGGCUUGUCUUUCUGUUGUGUGAAAUUAGUCUGUGUGUGAGUGUGUGUGAGCUGUGGAGGGGCGUGGUGUGGCUAGUGAGACUGUGUGGGGGAGGGUGACAGAGGGCCCCGAGUUCCCAGAACCACUUGCCUUUGCAGUCCCAGGACUGUGUCUGCUCACCCUGACACACAUGAUGGAUGACUUCACAUGCCUGACACACUCCCAUGGGCCUGCCUGGAUCUUAUUCCUCCCCUAGCCCCUGCCUUUAUUUAUUUAUUUAUUUAU